GGGGGGCUACCGGCUAAGACGAAGCCGAUUCAGAUUGGAGCAAAUCGAACAUCGAUUUGAUUCUGUCGUACCGCGUAAGCAGCCAAGAUGGCGAUCCCCGAUUCGUGACGUCACAUGAAGUUCGGCAAGCCGAUUGAACGAAUGAUUUCAAUACUUUUGACACUAAAUCGCUACCGCGUAAAAAAUCGAAGUUCGGCGCCUGAAGCCGAUUCCCAUUGGAAGUGUCAGUUGAAGCCGGGCACUUUUCAGUAACCGUGAUCAAUUUUAAUUUCUUAUUUUCACUGUUUUUCAACAAUAUUAGGAGCUAUUUACGGUGGGCGACAAAUUUUAGGAACAUCUUAAUCAAUAUAAAAUUGAUAUCGGCGUGGAUUUUCGUGUUUAAAUACCUAAAUACAGUGUCAUGGAGAUAGUCGUUUUAUGGGCUGCUGCGGAAGAAAAUGUCUUCAGAAUCUUGAGCAAAUCGAUUGCAGGAUACUUCGAGAGAAAAGCCAGUAUAUACUUCUCACAGAGAGUAGCUACAUUAAUAAUUUUAGAUUAUCAAAAGAUGCAUUUCGGACUUUGUAUCAUGACUUAGGACCAUAUCUGGAGGUCCAAUGCUCUACAACUGUGCAAUCGACUUUAAGUGACAAAUGCCCUCAAUCAGCCUGCAAUCGUGAGAUAAUAUAUCAAGUUUCCUCGGAUAAAAACUGAGCAUGUAGAAGUCUCCAGAGGUUUUAAUGACAAAUUUGGAUUUCUUGGAGUACUUGGAUGCAUCCACGGCACACACAUUGCCAUUACCCAACCUCACAAGUGGGAAGAGGCCUUCUUCAAUAGCAAGUAUUACCAUUCAUUGCAUGUUAUGUUGGUUUGUGAUGGAGAUAUGUGCAUUACAUUUGUGAUGCAUCCAAUGGGAGUGUUAGUGCUAGACUGCUCCUCGUCCUCCAGAAGGAACAUCUCCUUAAUUUAAAUAUGUUUAAGUUCAUUAAGUGGACUUGUGUGGUCCUUAAAAUGUAAAUUACAAAGUCAG